rnacentral:rRNA from 1 species
UACGUAGGGUCCGAGCGUUGUCCGGAAUUACUGGGCGUAAAGGGCUCGUAGGUGGCCAACUAAGUCAGACGUGAAAUCCCUCGGCUUAACCGGGGAACUGCGUCUGAUACUGGAUGGCUUGAGUUCGGGAGAGGGAUGCGGAAUUCCAGGUGUAGCGGUGAAAUGCGUAGAUAUCGGGAAGAACACCCGUGGCGAAGGCGGUUCUCUGGGACGGUACUGACGCUGAGACGCGAAAGCGUGGGGAGCGAACAGG